GUCCUGAGCAAGACAGAAAACUGCUCACCGUCAGGGAAUGCACCGACUGAUCACCGGUGGCUCAACGUUUCCUGACGGCCACAAGUAAAUAUCAUCAGCUGCCUUUUGAGCGGGAAGCUGCAGACCGGAACGGAGAAAUCUCCGUCGGGACUGUGGUUAGGUUUCUAUACCCAUUUUGCAGCUAACCA
ncrna:unclassified sequences DTF2800 RNA